AACCCACCCCAAUAUUCUAAUACCCAAAACCGACAAAACAAACCAAAACCUACUUUCAUUCUCACACUUCAACGAAAGAACUUCCAGAAAGAACUUAUAACCUUUGCCUAUAAUGUCUAAAAAUACUACCUAAAUACAUUCAUCGGUGAAGCUAUUUGAUUGCAGGGGUAAUUUUUCUAUCAGAAUCUGGACUUCAACUCAACUUUAUAGUUCGAGGAGUUUGGCUUCUUCUAACUUACUUCCACACAGAAGCAACCUCAAGUUGGCUAUUAUUUGAGGAAGUGGGCAAGCAAUGUAGUAGAACCUGGUGCAAGCUAGGGGAUUGUGGCCUCACUAUUAGUAGUCAUGCUUGGCCCAGCAAGGUGCCUUCUUGGUUUGCCAAAUUACAUCCUACUACAGGCACUCCACUAAAUGCUACUCAGUUUUUCUAAUAGGAGGAUGUUCGGCGGGGGGAGACACAAACCCCUCCAAAAGCUAUAGAACCAUCACAGGGAACAAUGAUGGUACACCUCCUGAAGCCAAUAAUCAACAAUUUCAUCAAUCUGAACGAGGUCGGACAAUCAAGAUUGCAAAAGUGUGUUGCACUAUCCGCAAUCGAAGCAGAGCAUAUUUCUGUAGCGGAAGAUGGUAAAGAAAUGUCGUGGUUAAAGCGGUUUCACCAAGAACUAGGGAUGAAUCAAACAUAGUAUAAAAUACAUUGUGAUAGUCAAAGUGCUAUUGAUUUAAGCAAAAACUCAAUAUAUCAUUCUCGGACAAAGCAUAUCGACAUUUGCUGUCACUGGAUACGCGAGGUGAUGGAUCAACAACUUUUGAAACUAGUGAAGAUCCACAUGAAGGAGAAUCCAGCAGACAUGUUGACAAAGGUGGUCACUCAAGAAAAGCUAGAGUUGUGCAGAGACAUAGUUGGAAUAACUUUCAAAUAGUAGCUGUGUUGGAAUGCAGCUGAAGGAGGAGAAUUGAUAUGUUCAGCAGCCAUUCUAGAAGCCCACAAUUCCAGAAGCAGCACACCAUUGUUGAAGCCAUCAUCCACCAUUGUUGAGGCCUCUAUUGUUGAAUGGAAAAUUUAACCACCAACCACAUUUUUUACGCUAUAACUAGAGACUUAUGUUUCACUUGUAGAACACACAAAAAUACAAUUCAGGAAGAGAUUGUGAGAAGAAGAGUGUUUGGUGAGGUUUUUGUAGAGAGAAAUUCUUGGUGUAAAUUCUCUGUAAUUCUAUUCUUGUGUAAUAGAGCUGUUUUUCCUCCUAAA